rnacentral:rRNA from 1 species
GACGAACGCUUGCGGCGUGCUUAACACAUGCAAGUCGAACGGAAAGGCCCUGCUUUUGUGGGGUGCUCGAGUGGCGAACGGGUGAGUAACACGUGAGUAACCUGCCCUUGACUUUGGGAUAACUUCAGGAAACUGGGGCUAAUACCGGAUAGGAGCUCCUGCUGCAUGGUGGGGGUUGGAAAGUUUCGGCGGUUGGGGAUGGACUCGCGGCUUAUCAGCUUGUUGGUGGGGUAGUGGCUUACCAAGGCUUUGACGGGUAGCCGGCCUGAGAGGGUGACCGGCCACAUUGGGACUGAGAUACGGCCCAGACUCCUACGGGAGGCAGCAGUGGGGAAUAUUGCACAAUGGGCGGAAGCCUGAUGCAGCAACGCCGCGUGCGGGAUGACGGCCUUCGGGUUGUAAACCGCUUUCGCCUGUGACGAAGCGUGAGUGACGGUAAUGGGUAAAGAAGCACCGGCUAACUACGUGCCAGCAGCCGCGGUGAUACGUAGGGUGCGAGCGUUGUCCGGAUUUAUUGGGCGUAAAGGGCUCGUAGGUGGUUGAUCGCGUCGGAAGUGUAAUCUUGGGGCUUAACCCUGAGCGUGCUUUCGAUACGGGUUGACUUGAGGAAGGUAGGGGAGAAUGGAAUUCCUGGUGGAGCGGUGGAAUGCGCAGAUAUCAGGAGGAACACCAGUGGCGAAGGCGGUUCUCUGGGCCUUUCCUGACGCUGAGGAGCGAAAGCGUGGGGAGCGAACAGGCUUAGAUACCCUGGUAGUCCACGCUGUAAACGGUGGGUACUAGGUGUGGGGUCCAUUCCACGGGUUCCGUGCCGUAGCUAACGCUUUAAGUACCCCGCCUGGGGAGUACGGCCGCAAGGCUAAAACUCAAAGGAAUUGACGGGGCCCCGCACAAGCGGCGGAGCAUGCGGAUUAAUUCGAUGCAACGCGUAGAACCUUACCUGGGUUUGACAUGGGUCGGGAGUGCUCAGAGAUGGGUGUGCCUCUUUUGGGGUCGGUUCACAGGUGGUGCAUGCCUGUCGUCAGCUCGUGUCGUGAGAUGUUGGGUUAAGUCCCGCAACGAGCGCAACCCUUGUUCACUGUUGCCAGCACGUUAUGGUGGGGACUCAGUGGAGACCGCCGGGGUCAACUCGGAGGAAGGUGGGGAUGACGUCAAGUCCUCAUGCCCCUUAUGUCCAGGGCUUCACGCAUGCUACAAUGGCUGGUACAGAGAGUGGCGAGCCUGUGAGGGUGAGCGAAUCUCGGAAAGCCGGUCUCAGUUCGGAUUGGGGUCUGCAACUCGACCUCAUGAAGUCGGAGUCGCUAGUAAUCGCAGAUCAGCAACGCUGCGGUGAAUACGUUCCCGGGGCU